UGCACUUGUGUAUAUGUUUUUGUUUAACUUGUGGACAAAGACUGACAUACAGGUGCAAAAAAUAAAUCCUCUUUUGCAACCCAGAACUCAUUGAUCAGUAUGAGUUCUGAUACAUACAAGCAGGAAUAGG
ensembl:snoRNA